UGGGGAAUAUUGGACAAUGGGCGCAAGCCUGAUCCAGCCAUGCCGCGUGAGUGAUGAAGGCCCUAGGGUUGUAAAGCUCUUUCACCGGUGAAGAUAAUGACGGUAACCGGAGAAGAAGCCCCGGCUAACUUCGUGCCAGCAGCCGCGGUAAUACGAAGGGGGCUAGCGUUGUUCGGAUUUACUGGGCGUAAAGCGCACGUAGGCGGACUUUUAAGUCAGGGGUGAAAUCCCGGGGCUCAACCCCGGAACUGCCUUUGAUACUGGAAGUCUUGAGUAUGGUAGGGGUGGGUGGAAUUCCGAGUGUAGAGGUGAAAUUCGUAGAUAUUCGGAGGAACACCAGUGGCGAAGGCGGCUCACUGGACCAUUACUGACGCUGAGGUGCGAAAGCGUGGGGAGCAAACAGG
rnacentral:rRNA from 1 species